CUUGCGGAGACUGGGCGCAGGGCGUGGGGGUCAGUGAGGGCGCGGUGGGUCAGCCCCAGCCCGGCUGGCAGUCGCGGGGCUGGGAAGGUAGGGAACCCUCCGCUCUCACCCCACUUCCUGUUUGGUCGGUGUGUUCUGUGACCAUAGAUGGUCAAGUCUGGGGCCGCGCGGAAGCCUCCGCCCUGUGGUUUUGGAGCCCUUCCUCCCGGCGCGCAGGGUGUGGUCCCCGAGAAUAAGAUGAGCAGAAUUAAAGCAGAUCCUGCACCCACUCUGCUGAAAUCCGGCUUCUGAGGCAGCCUCGCCCAGGGCUGGGUGGGCUCAGGCGGCUGCUACUCGGUUCAGGGGAGGUUACGCACGGUGGCUGCCGCGCGCAGGGGAGGCUUCGCUUCCGUACUCCUUGGGCCGGGAGAUCCGAUCUUUGUUCCCUCAAGACUCACACUCUCCAACCGGUCAUUAUCCUCCCACAAAGAUUUAUUUCUAGAAAAAAUUGGCAAGUGCCACAGUUCCCGCCCCUUCAGCUGAACGACUGUGACAGCUCCGUGUUUCAAGUUGAAUGCAGGCGUUAUGUGCCAGAGUCAAUCAUUCAACAAAUAAAGUUCUUAAAAUAACAGCUACCAUUUACUGCACGCUGACUACUUGCCAGGCCCAUGCUGAGUUCUUCAAGCGUAUUUUCAUUUACUCCUAAUAGCAACUCUCGGUGAGACAGAAGGAACAUAGACCAUACACGCAUUCUAGAGGAAGAGGAGAGAGAAGAGGAAGCAGGAAGGAGAAUGAAGAAAGUUUCCUCAUCAGCUUUUUCCUCCUCGCUGAUCUUGCCCCUUGUCCAGUACCCAGUGCUUCAUCCAUGUCUCUCUUGCAGAUAACUAUGGCCGUGUGCCUGAGAUCUGGCCAAUGGAAUCGUGGACAGUUCUCCAUGCUCUUUCUCCUUCUGUGGCAACUCUGAAUGUCGUGUGUUCAAGAUGAAGACAGAAGAUAGAAUGACCUUGGGUCUCUGAAUCAUUGCUUGGAGAAGAGCAAUUUACUGAUCAGUGGUGUGAAAAUAAGUAAUUCAAAAUCUAAGCUAUUGGGCCAGGUGCAGUGGCUCACGCCUGUAACCCCAGCACUUUGGGAAACCAAGGCAGGUGGAUCAUUUGAGGUCAGGAGUUCGAGACCAGCCUGGCCAACAGGGUGAAACCCCGUCGCUACUAAAAAUACAAAAAAUUAGCCGGGCAUGGUGGCAUACGCCUGUGGCCCCAGCUACUUGGGAGGCUAGGGCACGAGAAACACUUAAGCCCAGGAGGCGGAAGUUGCAGUGAGCCAAGACUGCACCACUGCAUGCUAGCCUGGGCAAGAGAGCAAGACUCUGCCUCA
rnacentral:lncRNA from 1 species